GUUGCAGGAGAAACUCAUACUCUGGUUUCUCAUUCUGUUUCCUCGUGCCAGUAUGAAGUUCCAGCUGUUUUCACUGUAAAACCUUGUUGGA